UAUAUAAUGAAAGAUCGCCGAUACAUUUGCAUAGCCUGGCCGUCUUCACUGGUGGAUCUGCCGACAUUAAGACCAUCUAAAUUUUGCCACGUUUCAAGAUGAACUUCAAAAUAUUGUGGGUGGUGCUCCUCGUAGUGAUGCUAGGACUAGCCUCAGUCGACGGACUUGUCAACCGGGAGCGCAGGAGACGCCCCGGGCAGAGACGAAGGGGAGCCACCCGCUACGGCACUCACCAGUUUGGCGCCAGAGGAUACGAGCAACUGCCGAGGCAAGGAUAACACCUCGUCCUCGUGUAGUGACCCAGGACUUCAACAAGGAGGGACAUUGUCUCCUGCCGUGGAGUUUGCUGUUCGAUGGCUCAGUGACUACGUCGCUCAGUGGUUCAGGAGCCAUCGUGGGCAAUUAUGUAACGGCAAUAGACCUACUCUAUAACUUUUGGCCGGCGGUUUCAAAUACCGACAUGCGCUGAAGUAACGCAUUUGUAGCGUAAGAUAUAUAUAUAUAUAUAUAUAUAUAUAUAUAUAUAUAUAUAUAUAUAUAUAUAUAUAUAUAUAUAUAUAUAUAUAUAUAUAUUGAACAACUUAACGUAAUUUCCUUUUUCUAAUGUACAUUGUUGCAGUUUUACACAUCCCCUUCUGUUGUUCUUAUUUAUUAUGAUUUUUUUUAAAUUUCCUUUUUAAUCUUGUUAUUAUACUUUUCAUGUUGGGCAUUAUCAUGACUUUUUAUGAUUAAUAACUUUGAGGGAAAAUGUUGAUGACUUGUUGAUAGAAAAAUCAAUGUUUUAAGAAAUAGAGUAUAGUGUUUUUCAGUUGUGUAGACUGUUAAGUUACAAGAUGUCACUAUAGAAUAGAUUCCGUGACUUUGAACUGUAGGCCUAUGUGGGAUACAGUUCAAAAUAUUUGCGUGUUACCUCUAAACUGUUGCAAUCCAAAUCAUGACGGCUGUUGUACCAUUUGCUGCUUGCAACAGAUCUCUAUGUUUUGUUGCGAGUUUCAGCAUGACUUUUUUUUUUUUACGAGAUAAGGCCAUGAAAUAUGUUUUGAACUCUUUUAUUAUUUUUUGUUGAUUUUUCUCUUUUAGACGUUGUACAUUUGUUUGUUUUUCUGUUUAGCUGUUAUGUUAGCUUUGUUAAAAUGCACGAACAAUUAAUAAAGAAAGGAAUGAGACUAAA